AUCAGACACGGUGUCAGCAGCCGCGGUAAUACGAAGGGGGCUAGCGUUGUUCGGAAUUACUGGGCGUAAAGCGCACGUAGGCGGAUAUUUAAGUCAGGGGUGAAAUCCCAGAGCUCAACUCUGGAACUGCCUUUGAUACUGGGUAUCUUGAGUAUGGAAGAGGUAAGUGGAAUUGCGAGUGUAGAGGUGAAAUUCGUAGAUAUUCGCAGGAACACCAGUGGCGAAGGCGGCUUACUGGUCCAUUACUGACGCUGAGGUGCGAAAGCGUGGGGAGUAAACAGGAUUAGAUACCCUGGUAGUCCACGCCGUAAACGAUGAAUGUUAGCCGUCGGCAAGUUUACUUGUCGGUGGCGCAGCUAACGCAUUAAACAUUCCGCCUGGGGAGUACGGUCGCAAGAUUAAAACUUAAAUGAAUUGAC
rnacentral:rRNA from 1 species